UCUAGGAUAGCUCAAUCGGUGCGACAUGCGACUCUUAAUCUCGGGGUCGUGGGUUCGAGCCCCACAUAACGUAAAA